rnacentral:lncRNA from 1 species
AAAAUCCACAGAUAAUCGCACAAGGCAUUCUAAAUUUUUAAAUACCACAAUUAUCACAAUAAUGAAAAUAAAGCUAGGGAUAUUGAAAAGUGUAAGGCAGUAGCGCUCUAUCUCUCCGGUAUUGUUCAAUGGAUAGGGAUGCUCCUAGGCAUUAUUGUUAUCUUGAAAGAAAAUCUGGCUUGAAUGAAUUCUUUGGUCAUAGGAAGCGUCGGAGCUCCUUGAACCUACAUAUUGCACCCUUUGUGUUAGUCAAGAUCGAAAAAUAGCUAGGCAUUGGUAAUCAGGAAUGUACCUUUUAGUCAAGUUCUUUGCUCCGUUGAUGUCUGGGUUGAAGUAUUAUCCGAGGCUGAUUAGUCGUAAAAGAAUUUGCAUCUGCAGACAACGUAAAAUACAAUAGCAGGAAGCUAGAAGCAAAAUAGUUAAGUGCAUACAAUCAGAGGGAUGUUGCCUCCAGAAAUCCCUAGCGAGAGACACUGGUCUUCUACCCCACAUUACAUAUGUCAAAAGAUAGUACGCAUAAUUUUAACUCAUUUAGUUAUCUAGCUGACCAGAUCAAUUGUAAGCAUUACAUGGUUCUUAUUUCAGUGAAAAGGAAUUUCGUUGAAUAGUGAAAUUAAUUGGUAUAAAAGAACCAUAACAUGGGUUGUGCUUAAACCACAAAAGAUUUUUAUAGGAGAUCAGAAUAAAAUACGUGUAAUAACUCACUAAGAAUCUUCUCUGUUCUUACUAUUUAGGGAUACCAACUCUUUGAGUAACAGAGUAAUAAUAGGACAUUGCGUAGCUCAAUUCACGUGAGCUAGAUUGACACACUAUUGCUGCAGCCAGAGGUGACAUCCAAUGCAAUGGGCGGGGUGAAAUUCUUGACAACAGCCUGCAAUCAGGUAAUGAAGGACCAUUUGAUGACUAUAAACUUGAUAGUAAAGACAUCUUCAACCUUUGGAAAAUUAGAUACAGAUCAAAAAAACCUAUGGCCUCAUCCCGGACAUUAAUAUUAAAACCAUCAUUUUAGAUUUCUGAAGUUGCAACAUAUUUCAUGGAAGUUGCUAUAUGAAGAUAAACCUUACAAUCAGAAUUUUUUU